UACGUAGGGACCAAGCGUUGUCCGGAAUCAUUGGGCGUAAAGAGCGUGUAGGCGGCUUGUUAAGUCUUGCGUGAAAUCUCGGGGCUCAACCCCGAGCGGUCGUGAGAAACUGGCAAGCUAGAGUGCGGUAGAGGGGUGUGGAAUUCCCGGUGUAGCGGUGAAAUGCGUAGAGAUCGGGAGGAACACCAGUGGCGAAGGCGGCACCCUGGACCAGCACUGACACUGAGGCACGAAAGCGUGGGGAGCAAACAGG
rnacentral:rRNA from 1 species